rnacentral:hammerhead_ribozyme from 1 species
AGUAGCUGACGAGUUCCAAAUAGGACGAAAUGUGCAUCCUGGAU